GUGAUAAUGGGCAUCCUUGUUUCACUCCUGAUCUUAAUGGGAAUGGAUAUAGUUUAUCCCCAUUGCAGAUGAUAUUAGUUGAUGGUUUUAGAUAUAUACUGUUUAUUAUUUUUAGGAAUGACCCUUCUAUUCCUAUGCUUUCUAGUGUUUUUAGAUUCUAGUUUUAGGAAUGGGUGUUGUAUUUUAUCAAAGGCUUUUUCUGCAUCUAUUGAGAUAAUCAUG
rnacentral:lncRNA from 1 species